rnacentral:rRNA from 1 species
UACGGAGGGUGCAAGCGUUAUCCGGAUUCACUGGGUUUAAAGGGUGCGUAGGCGGGUAAGUAAGUCCGUGGUGAAAUCUCUGAGCUUAACUCAGAAACUGCCGUGGAUACUAUUUGCCUUGAAUAUUGUGGUGGUGAGCGGAAUAUGUCAUGUAGCGGUGAAAUGCUUAGAUAUGACAUAGAACACCAAUUGCGAAGGCAGCUCACUACACAAUCAUUGACGCUGAGGCACGAAAGCGUGGGGAUCAAACAGG